GGGGCACUAGCUCAACUGGCGGAGCGCCGGUCUCCAAAACCGGAGGUUGCAGGUUCGAGUCCUGCGUGCCCCG
rnacentral:tRNA from 1 species